rnacentral:lncRNA from 1 species
GCUAGGAUGAAAAUUUUGUCCUGCAUUUUUUUUUAGCUGUAAUCUCUGUCCUGCCUUUUUAUUUUUGACUCUGUUCGGUCCUGCCUUUUUUUUUUUAUAGUUUAUCCUGACUUUUUUUACCUAAAUUGUCGUCCUGACUUUUUUUUUUGCAAGUGUCUCAUCCUGCCUUUUUUUUUACUCAAAACUCCUGUCCUGCCUAUUUUUUUUCAAAUUUCAUCCUAGCCCCCCCCCCCC